AGUCUGGGAGUUCAGUGGUAGAGUACUUGCCUAGCAUGCAAGAGGCCCUGGGUUCCAUUUCCAGCACUA
rnacentral:tRNA from 1 species